GAUGAACGCUGGCGGCGUGCCUAAUACAUGCAAGUCGAGCGAACAGACGAGGAGCUUGCUCCUCUGACGUUAGCGGCGGACGGGUGAGUAACACGUGGAUAACCUACCUAUAAGACUGGGAUAACUUCGGGAAACCGGAGCUAAUACCGGAUAAUAUAUUGAACCGCAUGGUUCAAUAGUGAAAGACGGUUUUGCUGUCACUUAUAGAUGGAUCCGCGCCGCAUUAGCUAGUUGGUAAGGUAACGGCUUACCAAGGCAACGAUGCGUAGCCGACCUGAGAGGGGGAUCGGCCACAAUGGAACUGAGACACGGUCCAGACUCCUACGGGAGGCAGCAGUAGGGAAUCUUCCGCAAAGGGCGAAAGCCUGACGGAGCAACGCCGCGUGAGUGAUGAAGGUCUUCGGAUCGUAAAACUCUGUUAUUAGGGAAGAACAAAUGUGUAAGUAACUAUGCACGUCUUGACGGUACCUAAUCAGAAAGCCACGGCUAACUACGUG
rnacentral:rRNA from 1 species